AAAAGUGAGAUGAUUUUUAAUAUAUCGGAUAAAAACAAGUUCAACCCGGUUAUUUUCCAUUGAAAAACACACAACUUCAUUACUCAGAGAUAGUAUAAAAAUACGGGGAAUCUAUGGAUUUUUUACAGUACUGUUUUUGUCUCAGAAUUUAAUAAGUUAAGAAGAUUAAUGGGAGCUACGGCUAUUUUUGUUCUUGUAUUGGCAAUUACCGCCCAAUCAGUAUAUUCUCAUGUAGGACUGUUUCGUGAAAGUAUAAAUUUUUAUGAAGAUAGCAAUCCCGACGCACCAUGUAGUGUUAGUUGUACUUGUGCCGCCGGUUGUAGUUGUAGUUGCAGCGGAAGCUGCUGUGGCAAUGGCGGCUGCUGUCACAGCUGCAGCUGCUGCUGCCAUGAUCAAUUUCACUGACAUUGCUGACGAA